UUUCCAUAUUCUUGAAUGGACCUGCAGUAGGAUGAAAUUUAGAAAGGAGAAAUGCAAAAUGUAAUUUUCACUAAUAGCUUUAAUGUACUUGAUUUCACCAAAAACUAUUUAAGCCCUCCCUGACGUCGUGUCACAGAAAACUUUUGUGAGAGAGGGUGGUAACUUAUUAUUUUGCAAUAUAAUUUGAUAUAAUUUUACAGAAUAGUUUGAAGAAUAAGGAAUUCCCAUAAACUCGUUGUCCAAACUAGUUAUUCAUUUUGCUUUUUGCUAUUUGCUUUAUCACAGAAAGCACUUGGACCUUAUUUUUUGAUAUAAUCUUGAUAUACCAUUCUCCAGUAUUUACUUUUUCAUCCUUGUUUUUAUCUGAGAAUUCGUUUCUGUAAUUGACAGGGAUUUUAGGAAGACUUCGGGAUUAUUCUCAAAAAGAACUUUUUCAGAAGACCUAGUUAAUGAGCUCCUGAAUGGUGGUAGUAAUUGGAUGACAUACCAUACUGCAGUCUGUUUUUCUUGUUCCUUGGGGACAGAGGGUAUUUAAAAAGCUAAUUGAGGAUAAAAAUAUCUAGCAUGUGUCAAUCUCCAUACGUGUUAAUCUUUUUUCCACCUUUCAUGUAGGUUUGGUACCACGUAUGUAGUAGCCGUGGAAAAGGAUGUUAUAACACAAGACUCAAGGAAGAUGGUGGCUGCACCAUAUGGUACAAUGAGAUGCAGUUGCUCUCUGAGAUAGAAGAGCAUCUGAAUUGCACCAUUUCUCAGGUUGAACCAGAUAUAAAGGUACCAUUGGAUGAGUUUGAUGGGAAAGUCACCUAUGGUCAGAAAAGGGCCGCUGGUGGUGGAAACUAUAAAGGCCAUGUGGAUAUUUUGGCACCUACGGUUCAAGAGUUGGCUGCCCUUGAAAAGGAGGCGCAGACAUCUUUCCUGCAUCUUGGCUACCUUCCUAACCAGCUGUUCAGAACCUUCUGAUUUUAACGUACACCGAAUAAGAUUUGAGUAAUAAAAGUCUGUAGUCUUAAAACUCUAAAACAGUUGUAUUGCUUCCAAGCAGCAGUAUUUAUAGUAACAUAAGCUAUUAAUGCUAACUCUUGCAUGUCAAGAAACAUUAAUCUUAGGAAUUCUUCAUAAAAUGGCAACCUAAUGAGAAUAAUAAAUUUGAUGACUAUAUUUUUA